GAGUUUGAUCCUGGCUCAGGAUGAACGCUAGCGGCAGGCCUAACACAUGCAAGUCGAGGGGUAGGUCAUUUCGGUGACUGAGACCGGCGCACGGGUGCGUAACGCGUAUACAAUCUGCCUUUUACUGGAGGAUAGCCCGAAGAAAUUUGGAUUAAUACUCCAUAGUAUUAUAGGAUGGCAUCAUUUUAUGAUUAAAGAAUUUCGGUAAAAGAUGAGUAUGCGUCCCAUUAGCUAGAUGGUAAGGUAACGGCUUACCAUGGCAACGAUGGGUAGGGGUCCUGAGAGGGAGAUCCCCCACACUGGUACUGAGACACGGACCAGACUCCUACGGGAGGCAGCAGUGAGGAAUAUUGGUCAAUGGGCGCAAGCCUGAACCAGCCAUGCCGCGUGCAGGAAGACGGUCCUAUGGAUUGUAAACUGCUUUUGACAGGAAGAAACACUCCUACGUGUAGGAACUUGACGGUACUGUAAGAAUAAGGAUCGGCUAACUCCGUGCCAGCCGCCGCAGUAAU
rnacentral:rRNA from 1 species